rnacentral:sRNA from 1 species
CCAAUUAAUGCCCUAGGUUCCGAUCUCUAUAUAUUGGCUCUCUUCGUGUGUGAUUGGUUCGUCUGUAACUGUAGAUUUUUUUGCUGUAAAAUUUUUGUUUUAUUUGUGAUGACUAUAGCUAUAGAUUUUAUUGCCGUAAAAAUCAGUAGAUUUUAUUAAUUUUA